CCGUGAUGUCCAGACGGAGCAGUGACACCUCCGCGCCCUGACGGAAUAGGGCGUUGAAGGGCGUAGGCUAUGAUGAUGCCAGGCAAAUCCGGCGUUUGAGCUGAAACCCGAAAGUACGGGGUCCCCUUCGGGGGAACCUGAGAGCGAGGGUAAGCAUACUCCCGAGAAAAUGGGCUAACUCAUGUUGGCGGUACCCGUACCGCAAACCGACACAGGUAGUUGGGUAGAACAUACUAAGGCGUUGAGAGAUUCAUGGCUAAGGAACUAGGCAAACUGACCCCGUAACUUCGGGAUAAGGGGUCCUCACCUCCGGGUGAGGCGCAGAGAAUAGGUCCAGGCAACUGUUUAACAAAAACACAGGGCUGUGCAAACUCGAAAGAUGAAGUAUACAGCCCGACACCUGCCCGGUGCCGGAAGGUUAAGAGGAGAUGUCACCGCAAGGGAAGCAUUGAAUUGAAGCCCCGGUAAACGGCGGCCGUAACAAUAACGGUCCUAAGGUAGCGAAAUUCCUUGUCGGGUAAGUUCCGACCUGCACGAAUGGUGUAAUGAUCCGGACGCUGUCUCGGCCAUGAGCUCAGUGAAAUUGUAGUAUCGGUGAAGAUGCCGAUUACCCGCGAUGGGACGAAAAGACCCCGUGAACCUUUACUACAGCUUAGCAUUGACCUUGGUCAUCCGAUGUGUAGGAUAGGCCGGAGGCUUCGAAGCGGCGUCGCCAGGCGUUGUGGAGCCAUCCUUGAAAUACGGCCCUUUGGCUGUCUGAGGUCUAACGCGGAUAGUCGCGGACACUGCUUGGUGGGUAGUUUUGACUGGGGUGGUCGCCUCCAAAAGCGUAACGGAGGCUUCCAAAGGUGCCCUCGGGCCGUUUGGUAAGCGGCCUUCAAGAGUGCAAUGGCAAAAGGGCGCUUGACUGGGAGGGAGACAUCCCGAGCAGGCAGGAAACUGGGGCAUAGUGAUCCGGCGGAUGUGUAUGGAAACUCCGUCGCUCAAAGGAUAAAAGGUACUCCGGGGAUAACAGGCUGAUCCCCCCCAAGAGCUCAUAUCGACGGGGUGGUUUGGCACCUCGAUGUCGGCUCGUCACAUCCUGGGGCUGGAGAAGGUCCCAAGGGUUGGGCUGUUCGCCCAUUAAAGUGGCACGCGAGCUGGGUUCAGAACGUCGUGAGACAGUUCGGUCUCUAUCUAUCGUGGGCGCAGGAGUUUUGAGUGGUGCUGUCACUAGUACGAGAGGACCGUGACGGACAGACCUCCGGUGUACCGGUUGUGCCGCCAGGCGCACCGCCGGGUAUCCGCGUCUGGAUCGGAUAAGCGCUGAAAGCAUCUAAGUGCGAAGCUUUCCACGAGAUUAGAACUCCAUUGAGGGUCGUCGCAGACGACGACGUUGAUAGGGCGCAGGUGUAAAGACGGCGACGUCAAAGCCGAGCGCUACUAAUUGCCUAA
rnacentral:rRNA from 1 species